GGACGAACGCUGGCUGCGUGCUUAACACAUGCAAGUCGAACGCUGAAGCCCCAGCUUGCUGGGGUGGAUGAGUGGCGAACGGGUGAGUAACACGUGAGUAACCUGCCCCUGACUUCGGGAUAAGCCCGGGAAACUGGGUCUAAUACCGGAUACGACUAUCGGACGCAUGUCUGGUGGUGGAAAGUUUUUUCGGUUGGGGAUGGGCUCGCGGCCUAUCAGUUUGUUGGUGAGGUAAUGGCUCACCAAGACGACGACGGGUAGCCGGCCUGAGAGGGCGACCGGCCACACUGGGACUGAGACACGGCCCAGACUCCUACGGGAGGCAGCAGUGGGGAAUAUUGCACAAUGGGGGAAACCCUGAUGCAGCGACGCAGCGUGCGGGAUGACGGCCUUCGGGUUGUAAACCGCUUUCAGCAGGGAAGAAGCCUUCGGGUGACGGUACCUGCAGAAGAAGUACCGGCUAACUACGUG
rnacentral:rRNA from 1 species